rfam:Octopus bimaculoides Scaffold8232_contig_353, whole genome shotgun sequence.
GAAAAGGCCCUUUUCAGGGCCACUUUACAUACGUUUAUUACACCAU